rnacentral:rRNA from 1 species
UACGUAGGGGGCAAGCGUUGUCCGGAUUCAUUGGGCGUAAAGAGCGUGUAGGCGGCCAGGUAGGUCGGUUGUGAAAACUGGAGGCUCAACCUUCAGAGGUCGAUCGAUACCAUCUGGCUAGAGUCCGGGAGAGGAGAGUGGAAUUCCUGGUGUAGCGGUGAAAUGCGCAGAUAUCAGGAAGAACACCCGUGGCGAAAGCGGCUCUCUGGAACGGUACUGACGCUGAGACGCGAAAGCGUGGGGAGCGAACAGG